UACGAAGGGGGCUAGCGUUGCUCGGAAUCACUGGGCGUAAAGCGCACGUAGGCGGAUUCCUAAGUCGGGGGUGAAAUCCUGGAGCUCAACUCCAGAACUGCCUUCGAUACUGGGAAUCUUGAGUCCGGAAGAGGUGAGUGGAACUGCGAGUGUAGAGGUGAAAUUCGUAGAUAUUCGCAAGAACACCAGUGGCGAAGGCGGCUCACUGGCCCGAUACUGACGCUGAGGCACGAAAGCGUGGGGAGCAAACAGG
rnacentral:rRNA from 1 species